rnacentral:rRNA from 1 species
CCUACGGGGGGCAGCAGUGAGGAAUAUUGGUCAAUGGACGAGAGUCUGAACCAGCCAAGUAGCGUGAAGGAUGACUGCCCUAUGGGUUGUAAACUUCUUUUAUAAAGGAAUAAAACGAGGCACGUGUGCCUUUUUGCAUGUACUUUAUGAAUAAGGAUCGGCUAACUCCGUGCCAGCAGCCGCGAUAAUACGGAGGAUCCGAGCGUUAUCCGGAUUUAUUGGGUUUAAAGGGAGCGUAGAUGGGUUGUUAAGUCAGUUGUGAAAUUUUGCGGCUCAACCGUAAAAUUGCAAUUGAUACUGGCAGUCUUGAGUACAGUUGAGGUAGGCGGAAUUCGUGGUGUAGCGGUGAAAUGCUUAGAUAUCACGAAGAACCCCGAUUGCGAAGGCAGCUUACUAAACUGUGACUGACAUUGAUGCUCGAAAGUGUGGGUAUCAAACAGGAUUAGAUACCCCGGUAGUC